rnacentral:rRNA from 1 species
GAUGAACGCUGGCGGCGUGCCUAAUACAUGCAAGUCGAGCGAACAGACGAGGAGCUUGCUCCUCUGACGUUAGCGGCGGACGGGUGAGUAACACGUGGAUAACCUACCUAUAAGACUGGGAUAACUUCGGGAAACCGGAGCUAAUACCGGAUAAUAUAUUGAACCGCAUGGUUCAAUAGUGAAAGACGGUUUUGCUGUCACUUAUAGAUGGAUCCGCGCCGCAUUAGCUAGUUGGUAAGGUAACGGCUUACCAAGGCAACGAUGCGUAGCCGACCUGAGAGGGUGAUCGGCCACACUGGAACUGAGACACGGUCCAGACUCCUACGGGAGGCAGCAGUAGGGAAUCUUCCGCAAUGGGCGAAAGCUUGACGGAGCAACGCCGCGUGAGUGAUGAAGGUCUUCGGAUCGAAAAACUCUGUUAUUAGGGAAGAACAAAUGUGUAAGUAACUAUGCACGUCUUGACGGUACCUAAUCAGAAAGCCACGGCUAACUACGUG